CCAAGGCCUCCGCCGUCUCCAUUAUGCCAGAGAGAGAGGCAGUAAUGUCUUCAAUCAGAUUCCUAUGGAUCCUAAUGGUGAAGCUUCUCCGCUUCAGAAGUCAACAAAAUCCCUUGAACCAUAGACUUCAAAGUGAAAAAGAGGUUCACUGUUGCUCGCCACGACGAUACCGAACACCACCGGCAACAGCGCGAGGUAAACCUCACCAGUCUCCUUCUUGCAUGUGAUCAAAAACACAAAAAUUGUGGUGAAGAACGACGUCGUUGCGCCGAUGGCCUAGUUGAAGGAGACGAGGAGGUAGCAGAGGGAGGUGUUGCCGCAGAUGAUGGAGAAGUAGAAGAUUGCGCUGAGAGCGAAGAUCUUGAGGAACUGCUUCUUGGAGUGGAUGUGCUGGAGCAGAACGAGUUCAAGGAGGUUGAUGGAGGCGUAGGAAUAAGCGGUGCAUGAUAGCAUGUGGAGCAUUGUAAGGAAGAUAGGGAAGCGGUAGCCGUAGAAGCUGAGGAGGUAUCAGAGAGAAGAACCAAAAAUCCAAGCUUGGGUAAACCUCGAAAAUGCUAAAGCAGAGGCCAGGUCAAGAAAGCUUAAGGUAUCAGAGAGAAGAAGCAAAAAUCCAAGCUUGGGUAAACCUCGAAAAUGCUAAAGCAGAGGUCAGGUCAAAAAAGCUUGAGGUAUUU